CAUGUCUAAGUAUAAGCAAUUAUACAGCGAAACUGCGAAUGGCUCAUUAUAUAAGUUAUCGUUUAUUUGAUAGUACCUUACUACUUGGAUAACCGUGGUAAUUCUAGAGCUAAUACAUGCUAAAAAUCCCGACUUCGGAAGGGAUGUAUUUAUUAGAUUAAAAACCAAUGCCCUCUGGGCUCCUUGGUGAUUCAUGAUAACUCUUCGAAUCGCACGGCCUUGCGCCGGCGAUGGUUCAUUCAAAUUUCUUCCCUAUCAACUUUCGAUGUUUGGGUAUUGGCCAAACAUGGUUGCAACGGGUAACGGAGGGUUAGGGCUCGACCCCGGAGAAGGAGCCUGAGAAACGGCUACUACAUCCAAGGAAGGCAGCAGGCGCGCAAAUUACCCAAUCCCGAUUCGGGGAGGUAGUGACAAUAAAUACUGAUACAGGGCUCUUUUGGGUCUUGUAAUUGGAAUGAGUACAAUUUAAAUCCCUUAACGAGGAACAAUUGGAGGGCAAGUCUGGUGCCAGCAGCCGCGGUAAUUCCAGCUCCAAUAGCGUAUAUUAAAGUUGUUGUGGUUAAAAAGCUCGUAGUUGAACCUUGGGCCUGGCUGGCCGGUCCGCCUCACCGCGUGCACUGGUCCGGCCGGGCCUUUCCCUCUGUGGAACCCCAUGCCCUUCACUGGGCGUGGCGGGGAAACAGGACGUUUACUUUGAAAAAAUUAGAGUGCUCCAGGCAGGCCUAUGCUCGAAUACAUUAGCAUGGAAUAAUGAAAUAGGACGCGUGGUUCUAUUUUGUUGGUUUCUAGGACCGCCGUAAUGAUUAAUAGGGACAGUCGGGGGCAUCAGUAUUCAAUUGUCAGAGGUGAAAUUCUUGGAUUUAUUGAAGACUAACUACUGCGAAAGCAUUUGCCAAGGAUGUUUUCAUUAAUCAGGAACGAAAGUUAGGGGAUCGAAGACGAUCAGAUACCGUCGUAGUCUUAACCAUAAACUAUGCCGACUAGGGAUCGGACGAUGUUAUUUUUUGACGCGUUCGGCACCUUACGAGAAAUCAAAGUGCUUGGGCUCCAGGGGGAG
rnacentral:rRNA from 1 species